GGGGGAGUAGCUCAGAGGGAGAGCACUACGCUGAAGACGUAGGCGUCCGGGGUUCGAUUCCCCGCUUCCCCA
rnacentral:tRNA from 1 species